UCUAACUCCUAUUGAGUUCACCAUGGCCCGGGCUCUGCUUUUGCUUGCUCUUCUCAUGUAUUGCUCAGGUGUCCAUUCCCAGAGUGUGACUCAGCCUGCCUCUGCAUCUGGGUCCCUGGGCCAGACCGUGGAACUCUCCUGCACCCGAAGCAGCGGAGGGAGCUGGGAAAACUACUUUCAUUGGUAUCAGCAGAGUCCUGGCCAAACUCCUCGCUUCGUGUGGUAUGGCACCAGCAACAGGGGAGACGGGAUCCCAGAUCGGUUCUCCGGUUCCACCUCUGGGGACAACGGUUAUUUAACUAUCACCAACGUUCAGGCUGAAGAUGAGGCAGAUUAUUACUGUUUGAGGUGGUACAGCACUGGUAGCAUGUUGCACUGUGAGUGA